rnacentral:ncRNA from 1 species
GUGGAUGCCUUGGCACUAAGAGCCGAUGAAAGACGUGAUAAGCUGCGAAAAGCUUCGGGGAGGGGCAAAUACCCAUUGAUCCGGAGAUUUCUGAAUGGGGAAACCUACCUGAGCAAACCUCAGGUAUCCUGACGCCAAUCCAUAACGUCAGGAAGGGAACCCGGUGAACUGAAACAUCUAAGUAGCCGGAGGAAGAGAAAACAACAUGUGAUUCUGUGAGUAGCGGCGAGCGAAAACGGAAGAGCCCAAACCAGUGUGCGUGCAUGCUGGGGUUCGGACCGCGGAAUUGAUUCAACAAGUUUAGCAGAACGGUUUUGGGAAAGCCGGCCAGAGAGGGUGAAAGCCCCGUAAGCGAAAGACGAGUUGACAUGGCGGGAUCCAGAGUACCACGAGACACGUGGAACCUUGUGGGAAUAUGCGGGGACCACCCCGUAAGGCUAAAUACUACUUAGUGACCGAUAGUGCAUAAGUACUGUGAAGGAAAGUUGAAAAGGACCCCGGGGAGGGGAGUGAAAAAGAACCUUGAAAC